UGCCAGCCGCCGCGGUAAUACGAAGGGACCUAGCGUAGUCCGGAAUUACUGGGCUUAAAGAGUUCGUAGGUGGUUGAAAAGUUAGUGGUGAAAUCCCAGAGCUUAACUCUGGAACUGCCAUUAAAACUUUUCAGCUAGAGUAUGAUAGAGGAAAGCAGAAUUUCUAGUGUAGAGGUGAAAUUCGUAGAUAUUAGAAAGAAUACCAAUUGCGAAGGCGAUCUACUGGAACAUAACUGACGCUGAGGGACGAAAGCGUGGGGAGCGAACAGGAUUAGAUA
rnacentral:rRNA from 1 species